rnacentral:rRNA from 1 species
UACGAAGGGGGCUAGCGUUGCUCGGAAUCACUGGGCGUAAAGGGCGCGUAGGCGGCUCGGUCAGCGUGCCGGUGAAAGCCCGGGGCUCAACCCCGGGUCGGCCGUGCGAACUGCUGGGCUGGAGCACUGUAGAGGCAGGUGGAAUUCCCGGUGUAGUGGUGGAAUGCGUAGAUAUCGGGAGGAACACCAGUGGCGAAGGCGGUUGCCUGGGGCUUUGCUGACGCUGAUGCGCGAAAGCGUGGGGAGCGAUCCGG